AUACAGAGGGUGCAAGCGUUAAUCGGAAUUACUGGGCGUAAAGCGUACGUAGGCGGUUGGUUAAGUUAGAUGUGAAAGCCCCGGGCUUAACCUGGGAACUGCAUUUAAAACUGGCGAACUAGAGUUGAGUAGAGGGGAGUGGAAUUUCAGGUGUAGCGGUGAAAUGCGUAGAGAUCUGAAGGAACACCAGUGGCGAAGGCGACUCCCUGGACUCGAACUGACGCUGAGGUACGAAAGCGUGGGUAGCAAACAGGAUUAGAUACCCUAGUAGUCC
rnacentral:rRNA from 1 species